AGUCACCUGGUGCCAGAGAGGAAGCGAGAAAGACAGAGAAGCCGCGUCGUUGUCGGAGGCGUAUUGCGUGGCCUUGCGGGGCGCCUUCGCUAGUGCCGCGAGUCAGUUGGUCCGAGCUGGAAGCUCAGCUGCUGCUGUGCGCGUGGUUCGACGCGCCGCUAUUUCGCCGUCUACUUCUUCCACUUGUUAGUGCGUUGGCCGGGCGACGUUCUGACAGCGGUGUCAGGACGAUAAGUGUACGGAGGUUUACAAAUUGCCGCGUACGAGUGUGCGCAUAUAUUGUUUGGCGGCUCGCGCGGUUUUCGUGACUGUCUGGAGUAACUGGACAUAGGCGCGCGAAGUAGAAGGUUGUUACGUUACGUUAUUGGCUUAAACGCGUUAUGGAUGUGAUAGACGCAGUGGUGCCGGAUAAACUCAGCGAUGGCGAUGGCGAUGGCAUCUGCGAAGACGCACCUAUUGUGGACGAACCAUAUAACGACGGUGGUAAGGACGCGUCGACCCGGGAUGUUGGAGGUGACGUCGACGACGAUGGCGAUGGGCCGACGGUCGAGGUUAUUUAUGAUGAACCGACUGUCGAGGUCACUUAUGACGAUCCUAUUAUUGAAGAAACCGACGAUGAUAUCACAAUGACCACUAGGCGACGGAAGACCAUUCGUACCAAGUACAGGAUCCAAGAGACCUCCGCUUCAACUAAAAAAACCACCAUGACAACAGCAGCCAAACUUUAUGGCAAGGAUUUGAGUGAGUAUGAUGAUGUUGAUGUUGAUGAACUACUAUCACAGCUUACUCCUGAAGAAAUCAAUAUUCUUGCUAAAGAAGUAGAUCCCGAUGAUAGUUUCAUGCCACCAUCUCAACGUUGCAGUUAUGAGUGCGAUAAAGAUCCAACUGGACCUUUAAAUCGCAAAAAAUUAAUCGAGCACAUCAAUAAACAAGCCAUGGAAACACCUGAUAUUCCUGAGCUGAAACCUUAUGUACCAGGUGUCGUUCGAGGGAAAAAGUGGGUACCUCCGGUAAGAGAAAAUCUUAAAGAAAAAGAAGCGGAAGAACAAAUUGCCAUUGACCUUGGUGAUGAAUAUGAACAAGCUUUAACGAAUGCUAGCGAAGAUGAAAUCAUUGAUCUAGCAGCUAUUCUUGGCUUCCAUUCAAUGAUGAAUCAAGACCAAUACCAUGCAUCAUUACUCAAUUCUGGACAACCAGUAGGACUUGGUUGGGAUGGUGUAACGAAAGCUAGUCAGCCGAAAGUUUUUCCUAUCGAUCCACCUAACGAUACGGAUGUUGACGAAACCAUUAAGCGUGCUCGUGAAGACGAUCGCACGCUAGUUGAUUUAAAUUGGAAUAAUAUUAAGAAUAUUUCUGAUGAAAAAUUUUUCCAACUAUUUGAAGCACUUGAAAAUAAUACACACCUUGAAACUCUUAGUUUAACAAAUACAGGACUUACAGACAAGACUGCGCAACGAUUAGCAGAGGCCAUAGAGAAAAAUUCGACUUUACGAGUAUUGAACGUUGAAACAAAUUUCAUAAGCCCAUCUGUGAUAGUAAAACUCGUCAAGGCUCUCCUUAAAACGAAGGCUAUCGAAGAGUUCAGAUGUUCCAACCAGAGGUCUCAAGUAUUAGGUAAUAAAAUCGAAAUGGAAAUUACGCAGCUUGUAGAACAAAAUCCAACAUUACUUCGACUUGGUCUCCACCUUGAGUUUAACGACGCAAGACAUCGGGUGGCAGCGCAUCUUCAACGAAAUAUUGACAGGAAUGGAAGCAACUGUAUGGCAGACAAUGAGGAUUAUAUGACCAAAUGCUUUUAAGCUUGCCUCUCAUUAUUCGCUUCGUAGUCUUACCUAGUGCUUUACUAGACAAAUUCAUCACUCAAUCAUCCCGAUAUAUAAAUCUAUAUUUAUUCUUUAUUUAAUUAGCAGUUUUGAGUACGGCAGUCCCGGCUCGGGGUGGCGACAUCCUAAUGCAAUGUGGUCUGUCUCUCCUAAGUAUAUUUAUAAUAUACAAUACUUUUUACUUUAGACACUCCUGCACCGCUGUAUAUAUAUAUAUUCAACUUUAGCACACUUACAAAAAAGCAACACAUGGUUAUAUAAUUAUUAUUACAACUACUAUUAUACAAUUAGCGUUUAUAAGCUUCGAUCGACCAGAUGAAGACGAAGAUACUUACAGUGCUUUAUUGUCAAAGCUGGGUUGAGCUUUUCAAUUUCAAUUUUUCAUUCAAUGCGUACACACAUUCAUAAAAAUGCGCUUAAUUCUAAUAUCGCGAUUUGUACGCAAAUAGAUAUGUAACUUUUUGUAUGUAAUUUUUGCAAGAAAAAUUUUCCAUUUUAACGCAAUUACCUGAAUACAUUCGUAAUUGUUCUGAUUAUUUUUAUGAUCUAUUUUUCAUUUUCUUCUUACACAAGUACGAUAGAAAAGGUUAGAAAUACAUUUUAUUUAUUUAUUUAUUAAUUUUUUAAAAUAUUUUCCGGAAACACAUCCGCGAAUUUUGAUGGAAACUCUUAAUGGAGUAAUAAUUUCUUGCCAAUGCAUACAUAGUUCAUAGUAAUUAUUUUAGAAGCGUGAACGAAAAUUGCCGUAUAUUUAAGACUUGAAAAUAAAAUAAUUCCUCUAUUAAUAUAAAUUUUUAAUAAUAAUCAAGCAAAUGAAUUGAGAUAAAUGAUAUGUUACUUAAGUAAAAUGAGCAUCUAAUACACUUUUUAAGAGAUUGAAAAUAUGA